rnacentral:tRNA from 10 species
GAGAGUGUAGCUCAGUUGGCAGAGCAUUCGACUUUUAAUCGAAUGGUCCUGGGUUCGAGUCCCAGCACUCUCA